AACCGGUUGUAAGGCGAGGUUUCCGACUAACUGGCAUGACUGACCUCAGGAGGUUCCAACCCUUUCUCGCCAAACUCGUAUUCUACACAAAACAAAAAGAGAUAGAUGUUGUCCUCUGUAUCUGCCCUCCCAACCUUGUCGCUGAUGGAUCCACAGAAUUUUCUUUCCAGCGACCCGAAACCCACCUGACCCUUUUAACCACUUACCGGUCUAUCAUCGCCAUUACCUUUACUUAAUUAGACCAACAUUGGCUUAAGUUUCUACUUCCUUAAUUCGGAUUCUGACGUUUCUAUAGUCUACAACUAAAGGAGCUCCCUGAGUUAUAUGUUAUAUACCUUGACACUUUUAAAAGGCUUCUUUUUACGCGCUCUUCUUAAGCUCUGUUUAACGCGAGCUUCACGUGAUUCAACCAAACAUACACAGAACUACUGGACGUUAUUACGAUUUACAAUAUUAUUUUUCACGAUUCCACAAAUACCUUAACGUAUCUUAAAUCUAUUUAAUUUCUUUUUCUCUUAUUUAAAAAAAAAAACUAUUUCUGGACUCUUUCUAUUUUAAUAGUUGGUUCUAAAUCUCUUGUUUGUUUGUAACUGGCCUUCUAUAUGACAAGUUUAAAAUUUCUUUCAUAUAAUAAUGUAAUAAUACUUAAGGAAGAUUUUGUAUGACUUUUAUGUUGGUUAAAUUAAGUGAGCUACAUAUAUAAUUGUUAUUAUUCCAUACACUAAAUACGUUUUUAAUAACUAUUUAAAUAUAAAAAUGUAAUUCCUUUUUUUAUAAUUAUCAAGACAUUUCCGUUUUAAUUGGAUUGAUUGGUUGGUAGUUUUUUUUGUUAUUGCAGUUUUCUUGACUUUACUGCCUUAUUCCGCAAAUUAUUUAAAAGGAAUAAAUAAAAAAAUACCUGGCUAAUUACUUGGAUGGCAGACUUUCCAGACUUCCUUCUUGUAAAUUAGCCAGCUAUAAAGGAUUAACAAAAUCAUUUUUACUCCUACACACUAUGCUAUAUUUCUAUAAAAACUUACGUUUUUAUUAUUGUCGUUCAAAUACGUUUAUAAUUAUUUGAUCCUCCAGGAUUAUUUUAAGGACAUUAAAUUUACCGAUUUAUUAUUCACUAAAUCUCAGACUACAGUCCAUUUCUUUUUCCUUAUUUUCAAAAAAAAACUUUCUUCCUUUUUUUAAAUUUUUUUAAAUUUACUUUUUCUUAAAACACUUUUGCACACUCACUUAACUUUUCUUUAACCAACUGUGCUAUUUUCAUUUCUAUCGUGAGCUUAAAUACUCUAUUUUUGUCUUCCCCUACUUUUAUGUAAAUAUAAUUUCCCGCAAAUUUCAUUCUCCUAAAAUUCUGCUACAUAAGGUAUUUAUUUACAUAUUUCCCCUACUCAUCAUGUCGUAGCCUUUUUCUGUCCG